rnacentral:lncRNA from 1 species
GAUCAGACGAUAACUUUUCCAAAAGGAAUAGUGAAGAACCUUUGUGUCCGAGUUGGUACCUUAUAUGCCCCAGCAGACUUCGUAGUAGUAGAGACCGGAAAUGAUGAGAGGGCACCUAUCAUCUUAGGGAGGCCAUUCUUGAACACCACGGGAGCUAUCAUCUACGCCAGUGCUGCCAAGAUCAGUUUCUAUGUCAAAGGGAGGAAGGAGACAUUUUUCUUCAAGAACAAGACUACACAAAUUCCAGAUCAAUCCAGACGUAAAUCAAGGAAGAGGACCAACAGGAGGAAUAGGAACAAGCAAGUGUGGACCGAGUCAGCUAAGAUGGUCACUGUAGUUCAUGGAGGCCAAGAUCAUCAACUUAAGUCACCGUUUUUGACCAAGAAGGACGACCCAGGAAUGCCAAGCAUCUACUGCUCCAUAAAUGGAUACAACUUCUACAAGACGAUUUGCGACACCGGAUCGGGCGUCAACAUAAUGGCCGCAGUCACCUAUCGGCUCUUGUUCGGAACCAUGCCACUAAGACGAACAUACAUUCAGCUCCAGAUGGCAGAUCAGACAUUUCGAGAAGUUAAAGGAACAGUAACUGAUGUCCCAGUCAAAAUAGACGAUCACUUUGUCUACACAGACUUUCAAGUUAUUGACAUGGGAGAAGAUGAGUACGAUCCAUCCAUCAUCCUUGGAAGACCGUUCCUCAGCACCGUUAAAGCAAUUAUCUACAUUGGAACCGGAGAAGUCCAUAUGCACUUCCCCUCAGAGAAGGUACGCCGUUACUUUACUGACCCUAACUAUAUCGUUGAAGAAUCUAAGCAGGUAAGAAAAAGACGCAACCGCAACCAGAGGAGGCAGAUCAUCAGGGACGGAUGGACAGACUACGAAGGAGAAGUUGUAAGAUCAGAAGACGUAGAGUUUAAACAGAAUUAUCCAGAGGAGACUGAAGCACCAAGUCAGGUGUGGAAAAUGAAGAUAACUAUACACGAAGAGGAGGCGCUGCCGGAAGUACCGACUACGCCACCCAACGAACCUCAGGACGAUUAAGAAAAUGGAAAGUUCCGUUCGGAGGACUUAAAAACACCGAACGUCUUACCAAGAGGUAAACUUGGUAGUUAUCCUUUUCCAUUUCAAAUUAUUCCAACUAGUUUACUUAGUUAAUCAUGUUCGUGCUAUUCUAAAAAAGAAAAUAAAAAUAUGAAAAAUAGUAAGCCCCAUGUGAGUAUACGAAUGGCAUAAAACCCAUAAGUACAUUCACUAUGGUGGCAUAAAAAUAAAAUAAAUAUUUUUCUGCUUUACAAAAUAAAAAUAUAAAAACAGGGAGUAAUAAUUAUUAAGGAGUCUCAACAUGAUAAAGGCUAGAUAUUUAUGCUAACACUUAAUCAGUUCCACAAGCUUUGUUGUCUAUUUGAGCUCCACAGAAUUUAAGAAUCAAGAAGACUAGCAGAUGGAGGACAUUCUAAUCGCUGUCAGAAUGCUGCUGACUUUCAAAUACACCUCUGCCACCUGCUAGCUACAUCAAGAGAAAUUACGUCAAAAUUCAGUUUGGGGGAGAGCACCCCCAUUUAUCCCGAUAAGUAUUUCUAUCUAUCUAUCUUUAUACUUAUAUUAUUUUAGAAUAUUAAAAUACAUAAACUAUGAAAAACCAAAUAAAGAUUUUAUGCUUAUAUAUAUAUAUAUCUUUUGCUUAGUGUGUUUAAUAAAUAAAUAAAGUGGCUAUGCUAAUCUGUAUCUAAAUAAAACUUAAGCAUGGAUAUGAUGAAUAGUUGCUCUGCCUAAUUUGCACAUUUUGAGUUCUCUCUCAAGUUUAGAUAUAACUGUUAUAAUUUAAAGCUUGCUCUAGACCUAAACUUGUGGGAUGAAAAUUUGAUCUGAAGUCUAAGUUGUUAACGGAUACGAUAUGGGAAGGUUGAGCUGCUGUUUAUCUGUUCCUAGAGAUGCUAGAAUUCUGGAGAAUUUUAUCUUUGAAAAUCUUUAAAAUGUUGCAUGAUGAGUUCCUGUAUGAUGAGAGUUUAAAUUCCUACCACAGCCAUAUAUACAUGCUUGCUAGACUUUGAGCCACACAUUUACUAUUUACUGCUUAUGAGCAUUGAGUGUGGUCAAGCUGUGUAGACCCUUAGGAACUUGUCAUGUGGUUAAAUCAAGAUUCACUUGCACGUUCACUCAUAUAUGUUACUUCUACUCCGGAAGUACCAUCCACAUAUAUCCACCCAUUCCAUCUCCAGAAUCACCCAAAAAUAUUCUACUCCUAAUCCAGGAGAAAAUAACCAAAAAUAUUUUGUUUUUCCCUUGUGAAAUAAAUGCUCAAGUUAUCUUGUUACUACCACUUGCUAUAUUAUCUCAUGAGAUGAGUGCUUUCUAAAAAAAAAGAAAUACGAGGAAAUAAAAAGGAGCAAGUGCUCGGAACCUCGAAAGAAAAGAAAAAGUGAGACGAGAGGUAAAAAUGGACAAGUGUCCGACAGUAGAAUUAGGGUGCAAGAUACCCACCUGAGAGAAAAGAAAAAGAAGAGCAUCUCAUUCUCCUCAUAAAGUUUCAAAAAAAAACAAGGAAGGUAUGUAUCCCCUCAAAGAGCAAAGUAGAAUUAGACUUCCACCACCAUUGUUUUCACCAUUGUUAUCACCAUCAUCACCAUACAUCAUUCAUUCGCCACACAUGCACAUCUUGAUUAAACUCAUUGGCUUGUUUCUUUGGAUCCAUGGUUUGAAUAUGCAAUACAUGUCUUGUAAGUAUGUAUAUUUUAUCUCCCACCUAUGAGCUCUAGAUAUUAAAGCCUUAUUAGAGUAGGGUGAGAGAGAAGGCAAUGUCACUAUGCCUUACACCACAAAUACCACAUAUCUUGAGAGAAGGCAUAUACCAUCACUGCCUUGGUAAGGAUCCAGAAAUAUCACAAAAGAGAGAUCUGAGAGAAUCAUACAAGGAAUCUCUGAGUUUUAUUUGAAAAUAUGCAAAAACCCCAGAGCUAUAGCUGAUCAAGAAUAAGAGACAUGGCACUUGACUAGACUGUUCUAUCUUUUAACCACUCAAGACACAAGUGACAGUUACAAG